rnacentral:snRNA from 1 species
CAAAGUGUAGUAUCUGUUCUUAUCAGCUUAAUAUCUGAUACGUCCUCCAUUGGGGGACAUCGAUAUUAAACUGAUUUUUGAAAGGGGGUGAGGUGCCCGGGGCUUGCUCCGCCCUCACCACGGGUUGAC